UGUAUAAUGAUGAAACCCAUGCGUGUCAGCUGACUCUUGUUUCCUGCUGCUGUGCUGUGGCUCAGGUUGGCGUUUUGCUGGCCUAAGCCCUCGGCACAGCAGAGAUUCAGAGACGUGAUCAUACUUCACUUCUGAAUACA